rnacentral:rRNA from 1 species
UACGUAGGGUGCGAGCGUUGUCCGGAAUUAUUGGGCGUAAAGGGCUCGUAGGCGGUUUGUCGCGUCGGGAGUGAAAACACUGGGCUUAACCGAGUGCUUGCUUUCGAUACGGGCAGACUUGAGGCAUUGAGGGGAGAACGGAAUUCCUGGUGUAACGGUGAAAUGCGCAGAUAUCAGGAGGAACACCGGUGGCGAAGGCGGUUCUCUGGCAAUGUUCUGACGCUGAGGAGCGAAAGUGUGGGGAGCGAACAGG